rnacentral:lncRNA from 1 species
GGCUCUCUGUGGAUGUUAUUCCCACAUUGUCCACGCUUCAGACCUAGAUGUCUGAGCGUGAGGGAGGGUAUUGAUGAGAAACAUCCCACAUCGGAUAUAUAAGAAUUAAUCUACUACUAUAUAAAGGGUUAGGGCCAAUCCACUAAUUGCCAAUUGGUUUUAAGUUGGAAGCCCAUAAUAAACCCGAAUCUAACAUGGUAUCAGAGCCCAGAUCCUAAUAAGUUAAACCCCUAAUUAAUAUUAACCCUACCCGACCGGGUAUAUAGGUCGUAAUUGACUCGCUCGACCGAGUAUAACUGUCUUAAAGUUCCGAGAUUUCUGGCCGAUAAGAGCCAUCAUCUCGAGGAGGGGUAUUAAGGG